CGCGUAGGUGGGAUGCUAAGUCUGUGGUGAAAGCUUGCGGCUUAACCGUAAGUCUGCCGUGGAUACUGGCAUUCUUGAGUUCGGAAGAGGGAAGUGGAAUUCCUGGUGUAGCGGUGAAAUGCGUAGAUAUCAGGAAGAACACCGGUGGCGAAGGCGGCUUCCUGGUCCGAUACUGACACUAAUGCGCGAAAGCGUGGGGAGCAAACAGGAUUAGAUACCCUGGUAGUCC
rnacentral:rRNA from 1 species